rnacentral:misc_RNA from 1 species
UUGAAUGCCGAACCAAUGCAAUCUGCAUGGCACAAGGAUCAAAUUAUAAUAAUGAUCAAAUAGGGCACAUUGUAAUCUUUAUCUGGGUAUUGCACCAGCUCUGGAGAAAGUAUCAUAAGUGCUUUAAGAAACUAACUACAACAUUGUCUUUCAUAUAAAGUAAGUCACUUCCUAUUUUCCUAAUUGGAAGACAUAUUUUGAACUACAUAUCUAGCUACGAAAUAAAAACUGGCUGAGGUCUAUUCAACUCAACUCCAGUAAUUUCCAAUGCCACCAAUUAUGUUAGCUGAAUAACCAUACCUGCAUAUAUUUGCAGAUAGGGUCAUGGGUUUAAAACAUAGGCCCUUGUUUCAGUGCCAAAUUCAUGGGAAUUAUUUUGUGCCGUGGCAACCCCAAAAAUUUCCAUGAACUUACCAUUCCACACCCAAAAGUUUUCAUGUGUGCAAGUAGAUAUAGGUGCAGGAGACAGUGAAACUUAAUUGAUAUUCAAUAUCAGUCCAAAUUAAAACCAGAAGAUCAUAGAAUAGACAAUUUUUUCCACUAAUUUAAAGCUUCGUUGUUUUUCGUGAAAUAAGAAGCCAAGCUAUUGACAUUAACUAACAAACACUUUCAGAAAUAGGGUUUUGAAUUAGUUGAUUGUCUUUGAGAAAACCUUUAAAUACUUCUUUUUACCAGAUAUAAAUUAAGCUUAAAUGAAAAUUCAAUACAUUAUCGCCUUUUAUCUUUAUUUGAAAAGCCCAGCUUUAAAUUAUUAAAAAAAUUGGGGAGAACAA